ACAUCUAAUACAAAAAUACAAAAAAAAGAUAG
rnacentral:sRNA from 1 species